rnacentral:tRNA from 1 species
CAAAGUGUAGCUUAAGUAAAGCACCUAGUUUACACCUAGGAGAUUUCAUACAAACUGACCACUUUGA